rnacentral:rRNA from 1 species
GACGUAGGGCGCGAGCGUUGUCCGGAUUUAUUGGGCGUAAAGAGCUCGUAGGCGGCUUGUCGCGUCGACUGUGAAAUCCCGCGGCUCAACUGCGGGUCUGCAGUCGAUACGGGCAGGCUAGAGUUCGGUAGGGGAGACUGGAAUUCCUGGUGUAGCGGUGAAAUGUGCAGAUAUCAGGAGGAACACCGGUGGCGAAGGCGGGUCUCUGGGGCCGAUACUGACGCUGAGGAGCGAAAGCGUGGGGGAGCGAACAGG